CUUCUGUUCAAAGGGCGAGGGGUUGGAAAGCCAGAACCUUAGAGAAGAGUUGGAAGGACUGACACCUACCAGAGCUCAAGGUUGGAGCUGGAGUGACAUCUGAUGGAGAAACUGAUGCACAGAAAGGUUAAGUGAAAAUUUCCCAAAGGUGCAUAUUGAAAGAUCUCAUUGAAAUUUGAAGGCGAGAUGUGGAUACUGCAGUCUGCAGACUUCUGAAUAGAACCUGAAGCUGUAUAAAAGACACUCUUUGAAUCCAGUUAAAACAGUUUUAUCUGACUGUUCACUGAUUCCCCUUCACUGGUCAUGAUCUGCCUGUGGCAAACCGCUUCUCCUUGUGAUUGUGAAGAUUACUCCCACCUAUGCUCUUUCUGACAGUGCGAAUAUUGACUUGCACUUAUAAAGGUCAGGCAGCUCCAACAGUUACUGGGAGUGAGCGCACGAACUCCAGCAAGUCUCUCUGAAAAGAAUUUAACCUUCAAAUUAUAAAACACGUUACUCUGCAGAGCCAGUGUUGCAGUCAGCUCAAAAGUUAACCCCACUUAGCUGCCAACAUAAAUGGGGAACUGAACAUUGCCACAGCCAAAGAAAAUAAUCAAACAUCUAAGUGGACAAAGUAUCUAAGGUUAUCCACCUAGCAAGCAUUUUAUUUAAUUUUUAAAAGGUUGUUUGGUGGCACAGAAAGUCAUUGCCUGGGUCUUUCAGCUUUGAAAACACAUAAUAGUCCUUUCAGCUUUUAAGAACCAUGUGCUAAAAAGAUAAACCAUCCCAUACACUUCUUUUCACCAUCAUUCUGACAUUAGAUCAAGAAAAAUGUUAAUUCCCAGUGAAGCGCAGGAACUUCUUACUUCCCCUUUGAAAAGUCUUUUGCCUUCCUCGGUAUCUGAUGUCAUGUGAAUACAAGUUCAGAGUACAGCUGGGAUAAUUUAAAGUCUGUGGGAAUUUGGCCUAUCUGCUAAUGGCUCUGUCCCACAGUACAAUACAAGAAGAAUAGCGGUGCAAAAAUGGGGCUGAGAAUGAAAGUUCACUUUUCAUCUGGAUAGCAAGUAAAAACCAAUAUUUUAAAUUUUUAAUAACACACAUUUAUAUUGUGGCAGUAGCAGCAGGAUUGUGCAGCAUAUAAAUGAAGAUGGCCCUCUGGUUUGUCUCGCACAGCGGAUGAAGGGAGACAUAAUGAUGAAGAGUGCCUUUUCCAAGCAAUACAGAGGAAGAAGAAUAGGUCUUGGGUGCCUUGGAAAAGCAAUGCUUUCUUGAUUCGGCACAUUCUUUAGAAAUGCAUUAUGACUUUCAGUGUUGUAAGUUUGACAUCAGCUAGAUUUUAGAUUGUGCUAAAAUCAUCCUUAAUGGCCUUUCUGCUUCAUCAGUGGGGCACCUUUCAAGUAACAGAGUGCCAAUCAGUGGCUCUUGUUCCUCUUUAGCUCAGAGAUAUUACUGUACAGCUUUUUUUCAGAGAUCAUGAUCUUUCUCUGCUUGAUAUGCCCCUUUAUUAUAACUGUGUAGUUAAAGGUCUCGUGGCAUAUCUGUUAUAAACUCCUAAUUUUUUUGACUGCAACACUGUGCUCCAGGAGAAAGCUUAGCAUAUUAAGUCUUAGCCUCCCGAGAGCACUAGUUUGAUAUUUGA